rnacentral:rRNA from 1 species
UACUGGAGGAAGGUGGGGACGACGUCAAAUCAUCAUGCCCCUUAUGACCUGGGCUACACACGUGCUACAAUGGAUGGUACAACGAGUCGCGAGACCGCGAGGUUAAGCUAAUCUCUUAAAACCAUUCUCAGUUCGGACUGUAGGCUGCAACUCGCCUACACGAAGUCGGAAUCGCUAGUAAUCGCGGAUCAGCAUGCUGCGGUGAAUACGUUCCCGGGCCUUGUACACACCGCCCGUCACACCAUGAGAGUUUGUAACACCCAAAGCCGGUGGGGUAACCUUUUUAGGAGCUAGCCGUCUAAGGUGGGACAGAUGAUUAGGGUGAAGUCGUAACAAGNUGCNNGNNCCC